ensembl:lncRNA
AUAUAUAUAUAUAUAUAUAUAUAUAUAUGGUAACACUUUAUUUCGAGAGUCCACUAUCGACUAUCUUUGCAACUACGUCAACUAGCAGUUAGUAGAGUAUUAGUAGACUGUCUGCUUAAAAUCUUCUAACACCUUCUUUGUCAACUUAUUGUCAACUUAUACUAACCCUAAACCUACCCCUAACACUAACCCUAAACCUACCCCUAACACUAACCCUAAACCUACCCUAACAGUCUACUCUGAAAGUUAGUAGACAUGUAGUUGCAAAUUAAUGAGAAUUAGUUGACAUGUAGUUGACAUGUAGUUAUGUACCAGUAUGUAUCCAGCCCAGAUGGUGGAUCAACACCUAGAAAGGGCCUCUACAGCCCUGAAUGUCAGCGGAGACCAGGACACUAGAUGAGCCCCAGAGACAGAUCCCCUGUAAAGACCUUGUCUCAGACGACCACCGGGACAAGACCACAUGAAACAGAUGAUUCUUCUGCACAAUCUGACUUUGCUGCAGCCUGGAAUUGAACUGCUGGUUUCGUCUGGUCAGAGGAGAACUGGCCCCCCGACUACAGUUAAAGGCAGUUCAUCAUUGAAUUCAGUGAAGUCAUCAUGCAGCUCAGUUCAGUUUAAAUAGUAUCUGUGCAAUAAUUUGCAAUCAAGUCAACGAUAUCGCUGUAAAUGAAGUGUCCCCAACUAAGCAAGCCAGAGGCGACAGCGGCAAGGAACCAAAACUCCAUCAGUGACAGAAUGGAGAAAAAAACCUAGGGAGAAACCAGGCUCAGUUGGGGGGCCAGUUCUCCUCUGACCAGACGAAACCAGCAGUUCAAUUCCAGGCUGCAGCAAAGUCAGAUUGUGCAGAAGAAUCAUCUGUUUCCUGUGGUCUUGUCCCGGUGGUCGUCUGAGACAAGGUCUUUACAGGGGAUCUGUCUCUGGGGCUCUAGUGCUGGUCUCCGCUGUCUUUCAGGGCUGUAGAGGUCCUUUCUAGGUGCUGAUCCACCAUCUGGGCUGGAUACAUACUGGAUCCGGGUGACUGCAGUGACCUCUGACUUGGAUACAGACUGGAUCUGGUGGCUACGGUGACCUCAGAAUAAGAGAGAAACAGACUAAUAUGACCGUAGAUGCCAUUCUUCUAACGAUGUAGCAAGUACAUCGGGUGUUAUGGGAAGUGUUCCCGGUUCCUAAUUAAUGCAGCCUAAAAAUCCUUUAACGGAUUUGGAUAUUAGAAGUGUAUUAGUAUGUUAUGUGUAAGCCCGGUUAAAGAGAUGGGUCUUUAAUCUAGAUUUAAACUGCAAGUGUGUGUCUGCCUCCCGAACAAUGUUAGGUAGGUUAUUCCAGAGUUUGGGCACUAAAUAGGAGAAGGAUCUGCCGCCCGCAGUUGACUUUGAUAUUCUAGGUAUUAUCAAAUUGCCAGAGUUUUGAGAACGGAGCGGACGUGGAGGACUAUAAUGUAACAAGAGCUUGUUCAAAUACUGAGGUGCUAAACCAUUCAGGGCUUUAUAAGUAAUAAGCAAGAUUUUAAAAUCUAUACAAUGUUUAAUAGGGAGCCAGUGCAGUGUUGACAGGACCGGGCUAAUAUGAUCAUACUUCCUGGUUCUAGUAAGAACUCUAGCUGCUGCAUUUUGGACUAACUGGAGUUUGUUUACUAAGCGUGCAGAACAACCACCCAAUAGAGCAUUACAAUAGUCUAACCUUGAGGUCAUAAACGCAUGGAUUAACAUUUCUGCAUUUGACAUUGAGAGCAUAGGCCGUAAUUUAGAUAUAUUUUUGAGAUGGAAAAAAUGCAGUUUUACAAAUGCUAGAAACGUGGCUUUUCUAAGGAAAGGUUGCUAUCAAAUAGCACACCUAGGUUCCUAACUGAUGACGAAGAAUUGACAGAGCAGCCAUCAAGGCUUAGACAGCGUUCUAGGUCAUUACAUGCAGAGCUUUUAGGCCCUAUAAUUAACACCUCUGUUUUUUCAGAAUUUAGCAGUAAGAAAUUACUCGUCAUCCAGUUUUUUAUAUCGACUAUGCAUUCCGUUAGUUUUCCAAUUUGGUAUGUUUCGCCGGGCCGCGAAGAAAUAUAGAGCUGAGUAUCAUCAGCAUAACAGUGAAAGCUAACACCGUGUUUCCUGAUGAUAUCUCCCAAGGGUAACAUGUAAAGCGUGAAGAGUAACGGCCCUAGUACUGAGCCUUGAGGUACUCCAUACUGCACUUGUGAACGAUAAGAUACCUCUUCAUUCACUGCUACGAACUGAUGGCGGUCAUAUAAGUACGAUUUAAACCAUGCUGAUGCACUUCCAUUAAUGCCAACAAAGUGUUCUAGUCUAUGCAAAAGAAUGUUGUGGUCAAUAGUGUCGAAUGCAGCACUAAGAUCCAAUAGCACUAAUAGAGAGAUACAAGCACGAUCAGAUGAUAAGAGCAGGUCAUUUGUAACUCUAAGGAGAGCAGUCUCAGUACUAUGAUACGGUCUAAAUCCUGACUGGAAAUCCUCACAGAUGCCAUUUUUCUCUAAGAAGGAAUAUAAUUGUGAGGAUACUACCUUUUCUAGUAUCUUGGAAAGAAAAGGGAGAUUCGAGAUCGGCCUAUAAUUAACUAAUAAGGAAAACACAGACUGUCUGGACAAUAAUUAAAUUGGGAACAUUGACAGCAGUAGUCAGUCUGGCUGGUAUAAACUGUAGUUGGUAUAUGUAUGUUGAUUCAUAAUCUUUUGAGAUCCAUUCUCAAAAGUCACAUAACAGGUGUUACUGAUCACGAACUUAAUUGACCAAUCAAUCAAGCAAUUUCAGGAAAGGACAAAGGAGACAGACCUUUUAGUCGAUACAUCCAAUAAGCUCUCCUUUGUGAAAGUUUUUUUUCCCUAUGUUACCACCUCUUCUGGAAAUUGUGACUUUUUCGAUACCUAUAAAACUUAAUCCCUUAAUGUUAUAACUACAAUCAUGAAAAUUUCUUGCUAUUGGUGAAUUCACAUUACGCCUCCUGAUAGCAGAUUUAUGUUCACCAAUACAAAUUUUUAGCUGGCGACACGUUUUUCUGAUGUUAAUAAAUGGCCAUGUGGACAUUUUAACAUAUAAAUCACAUUAGAUGUAGAGCAGGUUAUUAAAGAUUUAAUGAAAAACGUUCUACCAGAAUGUACAUUACUAAAUUGAUUGGUUUUUGUUAUCGAUGAGCAGACGCACAACUCUGGGAAAACAAUAAAUGUUUUAGUCUUGUCAGUAUAAAUAUCAGAUUUUACCAAUCUAUUGGUUAUAUUAUUUGAUCUUUUGUGAAUAAACAAAGGAGAAUUUUUAAAAAUAUCACCUAAAGAAGGGUCAGUUGAAAGAAUAUUCCAAUAUUUUGUAAUAAUUUCUUUUUUUUUUUAAACCCCUUUUUAAUGAGAGAGGGUGAAAACUAUCCGCAGCAAGAAUUGUGUUUCUGUCUUUUGGUUUCUGGAAGACUUUACCUUUUUGUGGUCUUUCACCAUUAACACAUCCAAAAAAUGGAUUCCGGCAACUGACGGAACUGUGUUCCACUUGGGUUAUAAUGAUUUUUAUGUCUUGUGCCUGACAUCCAUUUGUAAACUUUGUUCUCUAGAUAAUCCAUGGUGUCCCAUUGGAACUUCCUUAACUUAAAAUCCUUCAAGUGGACGCAAAAUUCAUCCAGUUCACAUUGAAUUUUGUUUUGUUACUCCUCCAACUUUGUUAUAUCAUGAGUGCACUCAAUUUCUUUCUCACGUUCAUUAAGAUAUUUAAUUCCUGCAGAAAUGGACAGUUUGCCAUCAUUCUAAUGUGAAUGUGUUUUGAAAGCAGUGUGUAAACUUGUGGAGUAUGUGGUUUUGUGGAUUUCAAGAAAUGUGCACAUUGAAUGCACUUUGUCUGAAAGCAAUGAAAAAUGAUUCACAGUUUGUUUAGCAUAGACUUCUGUUUCGCAGUAAUUUUAAAAUAUUACUGUUGCAGUUUUGGUAAGAAUAAGAGACUUCUUUCCAAAACAAACAAACAAAAGAAAUCUUAAUUAAUCCCAACUUUUGA